rnacentral:rRNA from 1 species
AGUGAACGCUGGCGGUAGGCCUAACACAUGCAAGUCGAACGGCAGCACAGUAAGAGCUUGCUCUUACGGGUGGCGAGUGGCGGACGGGUGAGGAAUACAUCGGAAUCUACUUUUUCUUGGGGGAUAACGUAGGGCAACUUACGCUAAUACCGCAUACGACCUACGGGUUGAAUCAGUGGAUCUUCGGACCUUGCGCGACUGAAUUAGCCGAAGUCGGACUACCUAGGUGGCGGGGUAAAGGCCCAACAAGGCGACGAUCCGUAGCCUGUCUGAGAGGAUGAUCAGCCACACUGGAACUGAGACACGGUCCAGACUCCUACGGGAGGCAGCAGUGGGGAAUAUUGGACAAUGGGCGCAAGCCUGAACCAGCCAUACCGCGGUGGUGAAGAAGGGCUUCGGGUUGUAAAGCCCUUUUGAUGGGAAAGAAAAGAAGCAGGUUAAUACCCCGCUGUUCUGAAGGUAACCAAAGAAUAAGCACCCGCUAACUUCGUG